rnacentral:snRNA from 1 species
AUCGCUUCUUGGUCUUUUGGCUAAGAUCAAGUGUAGUAUCUGUUCUUAUCAGAUUUCUGACCUCAAGAACUAUGAUGUCAUAAGUUUGUGUUGUAAGUGUGUGGUUAGUUGUUAUAGCAGCAAUCAGAAACUAAUACAUGUGGCUGGUCUUUGUAAUUUUA